GUUAAAAGUUCGAUCCCGAGCUACACUGAGGUGGCGGUAAUGCACCACUUCGUCGUUUGCCAAUCGCCAUAAAACGCCGAGUAGAAGAAGAAGGUCGAAACGCAUUAACGACGAACGAAGAAGAAAAGUGGCGCGCCUACCACCCGAAUUUGAAUUGCGUCCUCUACUAGUGUCACCACAAUGGCUCAGGGCCACACAUUUCAAGACUUGGAGGAGAUGGGCGAGUCGCUGGUGGCCUUAAUCAACAGCAGCCAAACUGAGAACCUGAGACGAAUCACUGAGGAGCUUCAGGCCCUUUUUGACCAGCACAUGGAAACGAAAAAGGUCAUGACAGAGAUUUUAAGAGAAGAGACUCUGAUUGAGGAAGGUGUGGGCCAGAGACUACUGGACAUGGAGGAGGAGAAGAAGCAAAGGAAGAGGGAGCUGGAGACCCUGGAGGAGCAGCUGCAGCAGUACACAGCCAAAAGCCAGACCAGUGACUCUGAAUUACAGUUCCUGAGGGGAGAGCUAGAGAGACUGAAAAACACUGAUCACGAGCUUGAAACACUGCAGAGUGAGGUGAAUGAAGACACCACUGAGAUCAUCCCUUCAGCAAUGUAUGUUGCUCAGCUGUUCUACCUAAUAACCAAGAUCAAGUGGGAAUUUGAUACAUCACCCAACAUCUUAAAAGGAGUACACUAUGGUGCAGACCUGGCAACUCCCAUCAACAUCGACACAUCUCUGCGACCUCAGAGUGACGUGAGCGACACGUUGUGGGGCUUCGUCAGCACUGAAUGAGCCAGAACCUCCAGUGUUCAUGGCAUGGAUGAAUUCCAGCGUCAAGGUUACGAGGGAGCCUUUCCUGGCCCUACGUGCCUGUCUCCUGAAGGAAUGGAGAUGUAAACAGCGUCAUGCUGCUCCAGUCAGAGGAAUCCUAUAAAAGCCUGCUCUGCUCUUGUUUUCUCUGCAAGUCGAGGGAUGAGCUGGAGCUCAUAAAGCAAACCGAGGGCGCGCUGAGGUCCUGGGCUCUGUAAAAAAGCUGUGGCUGCAGUGGUACCGAUGGUGGAGAGGAACAUGGACUCACACACACACACACACACACACACACACACGCACUACACCUCGGGAGGGUUUGGUGCUUGUGAGCGAUGCACGGCCUGAGGACACGCUCUGUGAAUUUCCCUCCCGUGUGCCUGAGCUCAUAAAAAGAACAAAUAAAAACCACACACAUGACAGGUGCCAACAUCAGUAAUGUGAAAACGAGGAUGAUGAAAUACGAUCAUGCCGCUCGCUGGUUAUUUCCUUUUUAUCUUUUCCAAAUGUGUGUUUUUGAGUUUGUGCUUGUCAGAAUAUCUACAUG